rnacentral:tRNA from 1 species
GGAGAGGUGCCAGAGCGGCCGAAUGGGCCUGACUCGAAAUCAGGUGUGUCCUUUGGGGGCACCCAGGGUUCGAAUCCCUGCCUCUCCGCCA